GGAUGUCAGGGCUAUCUAGCUGUAACAUCUGUCACCCUAUUGAUCACCAAGGUUGAUCUGGCUGAUCUAGCUGGCUGGGCAGGGGUCCCCUUCCCCUUCCCCUCUCACCACUCUAUGUACAUCCUUCCCAAAGCCGCACACUUGAAGAGGAUGACCGUCUCUGAUAGAGGAGGACCAGUCUUCGGUCAAGGGUAUGCCUCCAAACCUCCAAACAAGUUCUCAAAACAGAGGAUUCAUGUAAAGUACUUAGCCCAGUACCCACCACACAGUAUAUGAUAAACAAAUAUUAGAUCUUAUUAACA
rnacentral:snRNA from 1 species